ACUCAACCUGUUUCUUUAUUCAAAUGUAUUAAACCAUUGCUGAUAAGGUCAAGGUGAUAUGUAUUUUUUUUCCUGAACGAUGAUGUUUACAGUACAUUAAACCAGUAACCGUUAUGCUACACUAUAAAAAGUAUUAUCAUUAGUAUUAAACACAUGUUAAAAGUGUUUAUUCAAUUUGAAAACAAAUGUGUAAAAAACUAGUUAUUUUAUUAAUUGUAACGCUGCAGGUUUGUUAUGUAGGAUCGGAAAUCGAAAGUAGAAGUUUUGCUAAAAGGUUCGUGAUAAAAAUAAAGGAACAUGACCAGGAUAAUGUGUUUCAAGGAUUGCAACAAUUAAGUUGUCGAAUGGUAUAUCAGGUAACUCCACAGUCUUUCAUAUUCGAGUACUUAGGAUCAAAAACAGAUAUAAACCAGCUCAUAACACAGAUAAAAAGCAAGUAUGUCGAUGAGAUCUCUGGAAUUGAGAAAAUCAUUGUGUACACAGAUUAUCUAUUACCUGGGGAUACAGUUAAAAAAGUUUGAGGAAGAAGCCUAGCAUUAAAUCUGAACAACAUUAUUAUGGAAUGUUUGUACCAAAGGCAUGGGCAAACGGAUACACAGGGAAAGGUGUGGGUGUAGCACUGACCGAUGUAGGGAUACAUACAAACAUUCUAGAUCUGAAGCAAAACAUUUAUGAAUUUCUGUGCUUCAAUUUCUACAACGACAGCAGUAAUGUGGCACCCGAAGUUUUCCACAUUCUUCCAGAUAUUAUGUCUUCUGUAACAAGCCACGGAGACCACUGGGCCGGAAUGACAGCCUCUGUUUCUGGUAAUGGAGUUUGUACCUGCGGGUUUGCUUAUAAUGCCAGUAUCGUAG